UGGCUAAACCAAUAAUAUCUGAUG
rnacentral:siRNA from 1 species